rnacentral:rRNA from 1 species
UACGGAGGGAGCUAGCGUUAUCCGGAAUUAUUGGGCGUAAAGAGCUCGUAGGCGGCCUGUCGCGUCCGCUGUGAAAUCCCGGGGCUUAACCCCCGGGCCUGCAGUGGAUACGGGCAGGCGUGGAGCAGGGCAGGGGAGAACGGGAAUUCCCCGGUGUAGCGGUGAAAUGCGCAGAUAUCGGGAGGAACACCGGUGGCGAAGGCGGGUCUCUGGGCCGUAACUGACGCUGAGGAGCGAAAGCAUGGGGAGCGAACAGG